ACACUGUGAUCUGCCAAUUUGCUCUCGGCCGUCGCUCUAAAAUUGGCGGGUCAAAGCGUAC
rnacentral:pre_miRNA from 1 species